GACGAACGCUGGCGGCGUGCUUAACACAUGCAAGUCGAACGGAAAGGCCCUGCUUUUGUGCGGUGCUCGAGUGGCGAACGGGUGAGUAACACGUGAGUAACCUGCCCUUGACUUUGGGGUAACUUCAGGAAACUGGGGCUAAUACCGGAUAGGAGCUCCUGCUGCAUGGUGGGGGUUGGAAAGUUUCGGCGGUUGGGGAUGGACUCGCGGCUUAUCGGCUUGUUGGUGGGGUAGUGGCUUACCAAGGCUUUGACGGGUAGCCGGCCUGAGAGGGUGACCGGCCACAUUGGGCCUGGGCUACGGCCCAGACUCCUACGGGAGGCAGCAGUGGGGAAUAUUGCACAAUGGGCGGAAGCCUGAUGCAGCAACGCCGCGUGCGGGAUGACGGCCUUCGGGUUGUAAACCGCUUUCGCCUGUGACGAAGCGUGAGUGACGGUAAUGGGUAAAGAAGCACCGGCUAACUACGUG
rnacentral:rRNA from 1 species